GCGCCUGGGUCACGCGUUCGGUAAUGGCUUUCUGCAGGCUGCCGUCGAUCAGCGAUGACAGCGACCAGUUCAGCGGCAACUGCCGUGUGACACCGGCCAGUUUCGGCCCGAUCUUGAUUUCAAGUUUCGGAUGAUCCGGCGCAACGACGAGGUUCCAUGCGGUCAGCAGCGGCAGCAGCACGAGGAAAAUGCAGAAGGCGGCGCGGACAGCAGGGUGUGAGAAUGACAGCCGGUUCAUCGCGUCAGAACCUGAAAUAGAUGAACGGCUGGAACGGCCCCGUCACCGAGCGGGCGAUGGCAAAAACGUACAGCAUCACAAGGGCCAG
rnacentral:misc_RNA from 1 species